rnacentral:rRNA from 1 species
AUCACCCUGGCGGAUGCUUUACACAUGCACGUCGAACGGCAGCACGGACUUCGGUCUGGUGGCGAGUGGCGAACGGGUGAGUAAUAUAUCGGAACGUGCCCAGUCGUGGGGUGAUAACGUAGUGAAAAUUACGCUAAUACCGCAUACGAUCUACGGAUGAAAGCGGGGGAUCGCAAGACCUCGCGCGAUUGGAGCGGCCGAUAUCAGAUUAGGUAGUUGGUGAGGUAAAGGCUCACCAAGCCAACGAUCUGUAGCUGGUCUGAGAGGACGACCAGCCACACUGGAACUGAGACACGGUCCAGACUCCUACGGGAGGCAGCAGUGGGGAAUUUUGGACAAUGGACGCAAGUCUGAUCCAGCCAUUCCGCGUGCAGGACGAAGGCCUUCGGGUUGUAAACUGCUUUUUGUACAGAACGAAAAGGUUUCUAUUAAUACUAGGAGCCCAUGACGGUACUGUAAGAAUAAGCACCGGCUAACUACGUGCCAGCAGCCGCGGUAAUACGUAGGGUGCAAGCGUUAAUCGGAAUUACUGGGCGUAAAGCGUGCGCAGGCGGUUAUGUAAGACAGAGGUGAAAUCCCCGGGCUCAACCUGGGAACUGCCUUUGUGACUGCAUAGCUGGAGUACGGCAGAGGGGGAUGGAAUUCCGCGUGUAGCAGUGAAAUGCGUAGAUAUGCGGAGGAACACCGAUGGCGAAGGCAAUC